CUAAAACCUCAGAUAUAAUUAGACAAACUUAAAAAAUUUAAAGAAAUAAAAACAAUUUAAAAUACCUUUCUGACACCUUCAAAUUUUUAUACUCUUGUUUCACUGAUUAAGUCUUCUUUACAUCCUAUUGAAGAUGCAAAAUUUGUAAUGUAAAACUCUUGGAAGUAGGCAUUUAUUUGUAGCUCCAUAAGAAUGUCCUCAGAAUCUAGGGUGCUGCCAGAGUUUUAUAUCAUUUUUUAAGUGAAAAUGGGUAAGUGAUUGUAAGGAUCAUGACCAAUAACUGUAUGGCCAGCAACAAUCAAGCCACCUGCUAGAGAUGGAGUACUACUAAUAGAGACUAAGUACAUUAUGUUACUCAAGGUUGGAGGUUGGUGCUUGAGGUUGGAGAGAGUUUGAAUGCUGAGCUGGAGCAGCUGGAGCUGAUUUAUCCAAGUUGGAGUUGCCGAAGGUGUAUUAUUGCUGCAACGUCUGAAGAACAAGACUGUGGCAUAUUAUCUGGAGAUAAGGACUUUAUUGUUUACAAGUCAUCAUGUGGAAACAGCUGAAUAAUCCAAGGACUCUGCUGUAUUUAAUACAUCCUCCCAGAAUCCCAGAAUGGCUUCCAGCCCUCCAGAGGAACAGUGGAUAUGAUCUUCUUCACUUCAAGAAAAAUGCAGGGAACAAAAUCAACCUUUGUACAUGGCAUUCACUGACCUUGCAAAGGCCUUUGACGCUGAAUCAUAAUACUCUCUAG
rnacentral:lncRNA from 11 species